rnacentral:ncRNA from 1 species
UACCCAAAACUCGAAUUGUCACCGUAUGGUGUGCGUGUCUUACAAGACUAGAGUUUUGGGUUUUUU